CCACAUCAGCUUAGUGCCUCCAUUAUUUCUCCAAGAGCACAUUUUGUUCUGCUUCUUCACCCACCUUCUUUGAUGUACGUUCAUUACGUUUUGUCAGAAAGAGCUGUGUUUUUUGGAGCCUGUCACCUGAUCGUUCUCUGGUUAUUUCCUGCCUGAAACUAAAGGCUGUUGUUUUACAGAGGUGGAAGGCUGAGCCAGUAAGAGUGGGAACAGAGCAACAGCUAUUCAUCACACCACUGACUCCCUCCCACACAGGAAUGCACCAAAUUCUCCACAGGAAGAAGCUGCUGUUGAUCAAACAUGGAUCAUCUGCAAUGUCUGUUUUAAUGCUGUGAAGGAAGAAAAGAUAACAAUUGGCAGCUUUCUUGAGAUCCAAGCAAUCUGAGAUUCUCAGUCCCUCAGUGUUAGUGUUAGCAUUUUUCUAUAGGUGCCCUUUACACUAAACAAGACAAGUCAAAGAAGCGUCCUUCAGUUCCUCAAAGCUGCCUGUGCUGGUUGACCUGAGAUCAAAAUCUUCAGCGUGAAUGAAGAGAUACAGGAUUUCCAGGUAAAACAAAGAAACCUUCAUGGUCAUGCUAUUUUUUUUUAACAACAAAGCACUAAUUAUC
rnacentral:lncRNA from 1 species